CUUGAAGAAUCUUUAAGGCCCCAGUCCUUAUUUAUUGUACAAUGCAUGGAAAGAAAAGCUAUACAUUUCUUCGAUAGGUGAUAGGAACAACAUAACGGAAAGAAAACUACAUAAAACUUACAAAGGACUUGAGGGUCGGCUAUGCUUGCUUUUUAUGGUGCAUAAAUAAAUAGACUGUGAAUAAU